ensembl:snRNA U6 U6 spliceosomal RNA
AUGGAAUGCUCAUUUCAGUAGCACUAAAAUUGGAAUGAUACAGAAGAUUGGCUUGGCUCCUGAGCAAAUGACACACAAAUCUGUGAAGUGUUCCAUAUUUUA